UACGGGGGGAGCAAGCGUUGUUCGGAUUUACUGGGCGUAAAGGGCGCGUAGGCGGUUAGCACAAGUCAGUUGUGAAAUCUCCGAGCUUAACUCGGAAAGGUCAACUGAUACUGUGCGACUAGAGUGCGGAAGGGGCAACUGGAAUUCUUGGUGUAGCGGUGAAAUGCGUAGAUAUCAAGAGGAACACCUGCGGCGAAGGCGGUUCUCUGGGACGGUACUGACGCUGAGACGCGAAAGCGUGGGGAGCGAACAGG
rnacentral:rRNA from 1 species